AGCAGCAGCCGCGGUAAUACGGAGGGUGCAAGCGUUAAUCGGAAUUACUGGGCGUAAAGCGCACGCAGGCGGUCUGACAAGUCAGAUGUGAAAUCCCCGGGCUUAACCUGGGAACUGCAUUUGAAACUGUCAGGCUGGAGUCUUGUAGAGGGGGGUAGAAUUCCAGGUGUAGCGGUGAAAUGCGUAGAGAUCUGGAGGAAUACCGGUGGCGAAGGCGGCCCCCUGGACAAAGACUGACGCUCAGGUGCGAAAGCGUGGGGAGCAAACAGGAUUAGAGACCCCGGUAGUCCCUGUCUCUUAUAC
rnacentral:rRNA from 1 species